AGUCGAGGAGUAAUCUGAGACCUAGAGCGGCGUACGGGUGCGUAACGCGUAUGCAACCUACCUCAUACAGGGGGAUAGCCCGGAGGAAAUCUGGAUUAAUACCCCAUGGCACAGCACAAGGGCAUCUGCGAGCUGUUAAAGAUUCAUCGGUAUGAGAUGGGCAUGCGUCUGAUUAGCUAGUUGGCGGUGUAACGGACCACCAAGGCGACGAUCAGUAGGGGUUCUGAGAGGAAGGUCCCCCACACUGGCACUGAGAUACGGGCCAGACUCCUACGGGAGGCAGCAGUAGGGAAUAUUGGGCAAUGGUCGGAAGACUGACCCAGCCAUGCCGCGUGCAGGAAGAAGGCCUAUUGGGUUGUAAACUGCUUUUAUCUGGGAAGAAAAGGCCCGUGCGCGGGACAUUGCCGGUACCAGAUGAAUAAGCACCGGCUAACUCCGUGCCAGCAGCCGCGGUAAUACGGAGGGUGCAAGCGUUGUCCGGAUUUAUUGGGUUUAAAGGGUGCGUAGGCGGCUAUUUAAGUCAGCGGUGAAAGACUCCGGCUCAACCGGAGCAGUGCCAUUGAUACUGGAUAGCUUGAGUGUUGGAGGGGUACAUGGAAUUGAUGGUGUAGCGGUGAAAUGCAUAGAUACCAUCAUGAACACCGAUAGCGAAAGGCAUUGUACUGGCCAACAACUGACGCUGAGGCACGAAAGCAUGGGGAGCGAACAGGAUUAGAUACCCUGGUAGUCCAUG
rnacentral:rRNA from 1 species